AUUGAAAACUUGAUAUAUCAAAGGUGAUAAGUUGAUUUAUUGGGUUUGAAAUAGUGAUAACGCCACAAAACUUGAUAAAAAUCGAUAUGUCUAUAGAUAUUGAUUAAAAAUUUGUUCAAAAGGAACACUGAAACAAAGUAGGUUUGACUCUAGUUGGUUUGUCAAUUGGCUGGUACUGAGCUCUUGGAGGUGGUUUGAAUUUAUUAUUUUGGAGAGGAAUAUGUGGAGCUUCGGUUGUUGGUACAAUUAUAUUAUUCCUUAAAAUAAAAUUUCAAUUACAUAUUUGAAGCUUCAUAUGUAUAUCUCAACAAUUACCUUGGAAAAUGAUUGACGUAAUUAAGAAUAGGUCUCCCGUGCGUAGCUUGCGGCGAAAAGGGAUGGUUAGAAUAAAACACGUUCGGACUAGCAUGAUGAUGAAAAUUUUGUUGUUGGGGUAAAGUAGAAUCCACGAUAAUUUUACCAUAAACGUAUUUCUUUGGUUCAACAAACGUUGGUUGUACACCGUAAAGCGGAUGUUGCUUGGGAUUAAAAGAUGGAGGAGCAGUAUUUUGUAUAUAUUGACCGUGAUGUACUGCUGGUUGUACAGUUUCAGAAGUUAUUAAGUUCGGAGGGUUAUUUUGUGGUGGCGGUUUCAUAUCUUGUUCAAACAGCUGUUUCACGUGUACAUUUGAUACUGCAUCCGUUGGAGUUUGUUGAAAUUCGUAUAAAACUUGCUGAGCUGCUACUUUCGGUUCAAUCACUUUAACUGGUUGACUGAGAUCUACUAAUGCCAGAGGUCUUACUUGAUACGUGUUCACCUGCUUCGGCUCGUAGUAGACUUUCGGAUUGUCGUUGUAUGGCAAAACCAAACCGGACUCUCCGUAAGAUUGGACAUCUCUAGACAAGUUUCUUUUUGUUUUGGAUAACAAGUUUGUUGUGUUCUGAGCGUGUACUGCCCAUAUGGACAACCACGUUAUCCAAAUCUGUUGACAAAAUAAUUCAAUAUUUAAAAAAAAUCAAUACUGGCAAUCCAAUUCAAAACUAUUGGUACACACUGUAUAAGGAUAUAACUUGCAAUGAAUUGAACGAGUAAAUGUUAUUUUUGUAUUCAAUUCAGUGCUUGAAUGAAUGUCGUUUACAUUUGGACGAUUUAUUUUAAUAUGUAAUAAAGAUUUUUUUCAAUAAACUCCUUUCUUUUGGGACACCUCGUAUUUUUCAAAUACAUACUUUUGUUUGUAAUAAAAAUAAAUGCCAAUAUUAAUUGAAAAAGAAGACAUUUUUUUUCUCUAAUAAAUUUGCUUCUGUUUGUCUGUAAAAUUUAAUUUAAAUCGAUAAACUAGGCAACAUUGCUCAUGCGCACUUGCAACUAUUAUGAAUUUUUAUUUAUUACUUCAAUUAAUUUGUAUACGUGUUUUUUAAAUAAGCAUUGUUUUAUGUUUCGAUUUAAGUACCAGGAAAUUACAUAAGACUUUCACCCACAUGACUGUACUAUAAAACAUUCAGUCUAUAUGUAUAAGUAUAAUAUGUAUUAUUUAGUAAUGCAAUAAUGUAUGUCAAAACUUGAAAAAAUCAGUUACUAAUACAAAAUUAUCAUACUAAUAUUCAAUAUAAAGCCCAAUCUAUUAAAUAAUAAAAAGAAAUAUGAACUUUUAAAGUGAUUGAAAUGAACCUAACCUCUACAACGCGAUUUUAUGAUAUGAUUAAACUUACACUUCACAAGCACGUUUUAUAUUUAAAUUUUAUUUGAUACUUAUUUAGCAUUCAAAUAUAUAUAAAUGUAAAAACCAAAAUUAAAUUAAAAUUUUGUAUUUUGAACGCAUCAAAAAUGUUUCAAUGACGGUAUAAGCCGCAUAGGCAACACAUUUUACAUAUAAAGCGUCAUCUUAAAUUGAUUCAACGUCAAAACUAAACAUGGUAUCGGGUAUUAUAACACCUUAACCUACAUUAUCAGCUGUUUACUAGUGUUUUGAAAAAUACAAUGAACUACGAGUGUUUUGAAGUUUGACGUUCUUAAAUUUAACGCUGCAUCAAUUUAAGAUGGCGAUUCCAGUCGAAAUUAUACCACGUGGCCUCAUUUGAUGCCCUAAACCGACAUCAACAUGAUAUUGAACUUUAAAGUUAUGUUAGUGGUAAAGUUUUUUGUUAUAAAUUAAAAAUGUCAGAAAAUAUCGAAGAAGGACCAAAGUUACAAAGUUAUCAAAUUUGCUACUGACGUUGUAGACUUCAUUUUUUAUCAUAUACUUGUUAAGUAAUAUUAAAUGCCUUACUUUCAACAGUUUUAUUACAAAUAUAUAAAUCGGUUUUAUUAACUUCCUCGAAAUAAAUAUGCACGCCUAUGAUUUCACAAAUGUUCAAAGUCGUUUAAAUUUUAACAUCAAUAGAUUGUUGUUUUGUUGAUUAUUUCUAUCAUUGUUCACACGUCGUUAAAUUUAUCUCGUGUUUUCAAUCAAUUUUUUGUUUCUCACAGGUUAUUGAUAUUUGAAAAAAGUUAUAUUUCGAACACAGAAAUAUUAUUAGAAUCGAUGUAUUUACUAUGCAUAUAAGUAC